UGUGGGAGCGGGCUUGCUCGCGAUAGCGCUGUAUCAGUCGACAUUUUUGUUAGCUGACACACCGCAUUCGCGAGCAAGCCCGCUCCCACA
rnacentral:misc_RNA from 1 species